CCUACGGGUGACAGCAGUGAGGAAUAUUGGUCAAUGGGCGCGAGCCUGAACCAGCCACGUCGCGUGAGGGAAGACGGUCCUAUGGAUUGUAAACCUCUUUUGUCGGGGAGCAAAAGACGCCACGCGUGGCGUUCCGAGAGUACCCGAAGAAAAAGCAUCGACUACCUCCGUGCCAGCGGCCGCGGUAAUACGGGGGAUGCGAGGGUUAUCCGGAUUUAUUGGGUUUAACGGGGGCGCAGGCGGAAGAUCAAGUCAGGGGGAAAAUGGGGAGGCUCAACCUCUUCGAGCCGGUGAAACUGGUUGUCUUGAGUGAGUGAGAGGUAUGCGGAAUGCGUGGUGUAGCGGUGAAAUGCAUAGAUAUCACGCAGAACGCCGAUUGCGAAGGCAGCAUACUGGCGCUCAACUGACGCUGAUGCACGAAAGUGUGGGUAUCGAACAGGAUUAGAUACCCUGGUAGUC
rnacentral:rRNA from 1 species